GGAUUAGAUACCCUGGUAGUCCACCCCGUAAACGUUGGGAACUAGUUGUGGGGACCAUUCCACGGUUUCCGUGACGCAGCUAACGCAUUAAGUUCCCCGCCUGGGGAGUACGGCCGCAAGGCUAAAACUCAAAGGAAUUGACGGGGACCCGCACAAGCGGCGGAGCAUGCGGAUUAAUUCGAUGCAACGCGAAGAACCUUACCAAGGCUUGACAUAUACGAGAACGGGCCAGAAAUGGUCAACUCUUUGGACACUCGUAAACAGGUGGUGCAUGGUUGUCGUCAGCUCGUGUCGUGAGAUGUUGGGUUAAGUCCCGCAACGAGCGCAACCCUCGUUCUAUGUUGCCAGCACGUAAUGGUGGGAACUCAUGGGAUACUGCCGGGGUCAACUCGGAGGAAGGUGGGGAUGACGUCAAAUCAUCAUGCCCCUUAUGUCUUGGGCUUCACGCAUGCUACAAUGGCCGGUACAAAGGGCUGCAAUACCGUAAGGUGGAGCGAAUCCCAAAAAGCCGGUCCCAGUUCGGAUUGAGGUCUGCAACUCGACCUCAUGAAGUCGGAGUCGCUAGUAAUCGCAGAUCAGCAACGCUGCGGUGAAUACGUUCCCGGGUCUUGUACACACCGCCCGUCAAGUCAUGAAAGUCGGUAACACCUGAAGCCGGUGGCCCAACCCUUGUGGAGGGAGCCGUCGAAGGUGGGAUCGGUAAUUAGGACUAAGUCGUAA
rnacentral:rRNA from 1 species